rnacentral:rRNA from 1 species
GACGAACACUGGCGGCGCGCUUAACACAUGCAAGUCGAGCGAUGAAAUCUUAACAGAACCCUUCGGGGUGAAGAUAAGACGGAUUAGCGGCGGACGGGUGAGUAACACGUGAGUAACCUGCCUUUUACACAGGGAUAGCCUCAGGAAACCGGGAUUAAAACCUGAUGAAACCAUCAAAUCACAUGAUUAAGAAAGUUAAAACUCCGGUGGUAAAAGAUGGACUCGCGUCCCAUUAGCUAGUUGGUGAAGGUAACGGCCCACCAAGGCAACGAUGGGUAGCCGGCCUGAGAGGGUGAACGGCCACAUUGGAACUGAGAAACGGUCCAAACUCCUACGGGAGGCAGCAGUGGGGAAUAUUGCACAAUGGGGGAAACCCUGAUGCAGCGACGCCGCGUGAGCGAAGAAGGCCUUCGGGUCGUAAAGCUCUUUUAUAUGGGAAGAUAAUGACGGUACCAUAAGAAAAAGCCCCGGCUAACUACGUG